UACGUAGGGGGCAAGCGUUGUCCGGAUUUAUUGGGCGUAAAGAGCGUGUAGGCGGCCAGGUAGGUCGGUUGUGAAAACUGGAGGCUUAACCUCCAGACGUCGACCGAAACCAUCUGGCUAGAGUCCGGAAGAGGAGAGUGGAAUUCCUGGUGUAGCGGUGAAAUGCGCAGAUAUCAGGAGGAACACCAAUUGCGAAGGCAGCUCGCUGGGACGUUACUGACGCUGAGACGCGAAAGCGUGGGGAGCAAACAGG
rnacentral:rRNA from 1 species